rnacentral:rRNA from 1 species
GACGAACGCUUGCGGCGUGCUUAACACAUGCAAGUCGAACGGAAAGGCCCUGCUUUUGUGGGGUGCUCGAGUGGCGAACGGGUGAGUAACACGUGAGUAACCUGCCCUUGACUUUGGGAUAACUUCAGGAAACUGGGGCUAAUACCGGAUAGGAGCUCCUGCUGCAUGGUGGGGGUUGGAAAGUUUCGGCGGUUGGGGAUGGACUCGCGGCUUAUCAGCUUGUUGGUGGGGUAGUGGCUUACCAAGGCUUUGACGGGUAGCCGGCCUGAGAGGGUGACCGGCCACAUUGGGACUGAGAUACGGCCCAGACUCCUACGGGAGGCAGCAGUGGGGAAUAUUGCACAAUGGGCGGAAGCCUGAUGCAGCAACGCCGCGUGCGGGAUGACGGCCUUCGGGUUGUAAACCGCUUUCGCCUGUGACGAAGCGUGAGUGACGGUAAUGGGUAAAGAAGCACCGGCUAACUACGUGCCAGCAGCCGCGGUGAUACGUAGGGUGCGAGCGUUGUCCGGAUUUAUUGGGCGUAAAGGGCUCGUAGGUGGUUGAUCGCGUCGGAAGUGUAAUCUCGGGGCUUAACCCUGAGCGUGCUUUCGAUACGGGUUGACUUGAGGAAGGUAGGGGAGAAUGGAAUUCCUGGUGGAGCGGUGGAAUGCGCAGAUAUCAGGAGGAACACCAGUGGCGAAGGCGGUUCUCUGGGCCUUUCCUGACGCUGAGGAGCGAAAGCGUGGGGAGCGAACAGGCUUAGAUACCCUGGUAGUCCACGCUGUAAACGGUGGGUACUAGGUGUGGGGUCCAUUCCACGGGUUCCGUGCCGUAGCUAACGCUUUAAGUACCCCGCCUGGGGAGUACGGCCGCAAGGCUAAAACUCAAAGGAAUUGACGGGGCCCCGCACAAGCGGCGGAGCAUGCGGAUUAAUUCGAUGCAACGCGUAGAACCUUACCUGGGUUUGACAUGGAUCGGGAGUGCUCAGAGAUGGGUGUGCCUCUUUUGGGGUCGGUUCACAGGUGGUGCAUGGCUGUCGUCAGCUCGUGUCGUGAGAUGUUGGGUUAAGUCCCGCAACGAGCGCAACCCUUGUUCACUGUUGCCAGCACGUUAUGGUGGGGACUCAGUGGAGACCGCCGGGGUCAACUCGGAGGAAGGUGGGGAUGACGUCAAGUCAUCAUGCCCCUUAUGUCCAGGGCUUCACGCAUGCUACAAUGGCUGGUACAGAGAGUGGCGAGCCUGUGAGGGUGAGCGAAUCUCGGAAAGCCGGUCUCAGUUCGGAUUGGGGUCUGCAACUCGACCUCAUGAAGUCGGAGUCGCUAGUAAUCGCAGAUCAGCAACGCUGCGGUGAAUACGUUCCCGGGGCU